GAUGAACGCUGGCGGCGUGCCUAAUACAUGCAAGUCGAGCGAACGGACGAGAAGCUUGCUUCUCUGAUGUUAGCGGCGGACGGGUGAGUAACACGUGGAUAACCUACCUAUAAGACUGGGAUAACUUCGGGAAACCGGAGCUAAUACCGGAUAAUAUUUUGAACCGCAUGGUUCAAAAGUGAAAGACGGUCUUGCUGUCACUUAUAGAUGGAUCCGCGCUGCAUUAGCUAGUUGGUAAGGUAACGGCUUACCAAGGCAACGAUGCAUAGCCGACCUGAGAGGGUGAUCGGCCACACUGGAACUGAGACACGGUCCAGACUCCUACGGGAGGCAGCAGUAGGGAAUCUUCCGCAAUGGGCGAAAGCCUGACGGAGAAACGCCGCGUGAGUGAUGAAGGUCUUCGGAUCGUAAAACUCUGUUAUUAGGGAAGAACAUAUGUGUAAGUAACUGCGCACAUCUUGACGGUACCUAAUCAGAAAGCCACGGCUAACUACGUG
rnacentral:rRNA from 1 species